UACGUAGGUGGCAAGCGUUAUCCGGAAUUAUUGGGCGUAAAGCGCACGUAGGCGGCUUUGCAAGUCGGAUGUGAAAUCCCUCGGCUCAACCAAGGAAGUGCAUCCGAAACUGCAGAGCUUGAGUACCAAAGAGGAUCGCGGAAUUCCCGGUGUAGAGGUGAAAUUCGUAGAUAUCGGGAGGAACACCAGUGGCGAAGGCGGCGAUCUGGGUGGAUACUGACGCUGAGGAGCGAAAGCGUGGGGAGCGAACAGG
rnacentral:rRNA from 1 species